AUGCAUACCUUACUACACAUGAUGAAUACUUCAUCAACAACCUCAAAGAGACAUGGAACUGUCACUACGAAAACUCAAGGGUCUAGAUCGGUCAUUUUCCAAUCGAGUAUGUCGCGACUACGAAGCAAGGAAACCCGACUGACUGUGGCUUUCACAUGUUGGAAUACCUUGCAAAGUGGGAAGGCCGACGGGUCCCUGUCGUCACAGCUUCAAUGGUCAUUGAGCUCCGCAAAAUAUACACAUGGAAUUGGUUGA
rnacentral:rRNA from 1 species